rnacentral:lncRNA from 1 species
AGUUGAUAGAGUGAUAGAGCAAUAGAUUUAUAGAUAAAUAUUCCAUAGAUAGAUGUUAGAGAGUUAUUGAAAGUAAACAACUAUGUAAAUUGCAUCAAAUCAUCUAUCUUUUUUUAGGCUACUAAUCAUGAUAACAAAGAACAUCUGAUCAUAAAUAAUGUUUCUACAAAGGACGAUAUUCUAUGAUAUGUAGAAUGAUACAGUGGAUUCCAGAGAAGAGGGUUUGCAAAGCUAAUAACACAUUUAUGUGAAGCAAUUUGUCCCCCUUCUUCCAUUACCAAUCUCCAUCCAUUGAACGCCUAUGGAGUCCCAAGACCCAACACCAAGACGUGAAUAAACUGGGUGCUCCAAGAGUGAAUCCAAUCAAAUUAAAGGAAAGUCAAAGAGAAAAGAUAAAAUAGCUUCAAAAGAGAACUCACAGCUGUGGACUUGCCUGUCAAUCAGCAGGAGCCACAAGCCAAUCAGAGGUGAAGUAAAAAAUUGUUCGACAGAAAAUGCGUUAGAAUCAGUUGCAUUCCACCAGAAUAGGAAAAAAGAAAAAGCUGCUCAACUGGAAAAAGGUGCAGAAAAAGCUGAUAGUCAAUCUAUACAUCUAAGUGUGUCAAUAAAGGUUAUACAUGACCAUCUCAAUUGGCAGGAUUUUUCUGUGUCCAGCCGUGAUUUUGGCAUCCUCAUAGGAUAUUGUCCAUGAUCUCACAAAGCGAGUAUAACCAAAAGAAUGAACAAAACUCUUAAACAAUAAGCACAUUACCUAAUUUGGUAGGCAAAUUUUAAUUUAGUAAUUUGUAUAACUUUUUUCCCCUUCACUGGUGUAGGUGUGUGCUUGCCCAUCUUAAGAAGGUAAUUAAAUCCUUAUGUUCCUAAAUAUAAGGAGUGCUUCUGCUCAUUUAGAAAAAUAGUGCCCAGCAUGGAAUUUGCCGGGCAAUACAACAUGGUCUUUUGUUCAAGAAAGCUCAGACUCAGUUAAGCAAUGUAGCUGGGUAACCUGUGAGCAGGAGGGAAAUGAAGGCUUGGAAAAGCCAGGGGUGGCUAGACCAGAUGAAACUGAUUAGCUUGCUGAAAUGGGAAAAUGAUGAAGUUUGAGAAGUUUAUCUGUCAGGAACCUGUGACCUACUUGCAUACAGUGUCAUUGGCAGGGAAAUGAUAACAGGAAGGACACAUAUUGAGGCCUUGACAUACUUCCAAGAGGUCUAUGGCCAAGUCUGCAGCUGAUGGGGUGGAUAGCCCUGUGAAGAAACUUUGCACUCUCUGGAACAGCAUAUCCCACCCGAGGGAACAACAGUAAAGAUAGUGACAGUCAAGGACCAAAACAAAGCCCAUGUCCAUGUUUUCUGGCAUUGUGGUAGGCAGAAUCAUGACCCUCCAAAGAUGCCUACAUCCUAAUCUUCAUAUUCUGUGAAUGUGUUAGCUUAUGUAACAUAAGGGAUUUGGCAGAUGUGAUUAAAUUAUGGAU